ACCCGCCCAUUUCCGGUGUCGUUUCCUGUCACCUGAGUGCUAGGCCAAGGGCUAGGGAGGUCUAUUAUAGUACCUUAGUAGAUGUAAGAUUAUGUCUAGCUAUAGCUAUGGCUCCAGUGCAGUGAUAGUAAGAUCAAGAAGUUAAACAAAAGCUGGUUGCAUCGGUCACGAUUGAUAUUCAUUAAAGCAAGUGAACCCAAUCUCGAUUUCCGACAUGGUAGCACGUCGGGCUGUCUUAAUAAGUUUUUAGUUGGCUGAAACUCCUCUCGCUCUCACAAGAUGUAAUAGGAAGUGUCAGAGCCAAUGUCAACAGAAGAUUCACAUUUGGAUAUGUCAUCACAUGGCACUCUCUCAAGGCAGCUCCUUAUUUAUAUGAUUUGGAUUUUUAUUUAUUGUGAAACCGUACUUGCUUUACUCUUUUUGAAGAAUGUUGAAAUUGGCACUUGACUUGGUCUCUUCCUGUUACUCAUUGUUGUAUAAUAAGUAAGUCUGGUUGAACAUAAUUACCACAAUCAAAGCUGCAUGACCACUGGACACAUGGAUGUGGCCCAUCUUGUAUCCAAUUAAUUACUGCUUACUAUGCAGUUUUUGCAACGCGAUCAGUUGAAAAAGAGUAAAGAACCUGCCACUGCUUUUAGCUAAGUUCUGUUCCUUCUAGAGUGGACUACAUGCAGAUGGUCCACCAUGGAGAGAGUCUAAUCUGUGAGGGUUAGACAUGAUAGUUUAAUGGAGAACCAAUGACAAAAGAUACAUUCUGUAGCACUUUAGAGAGGUUCAUACAUGCAUGUAUGUAACGUAACAGGAUCUA